UACGAGGGGGGCAAGCGUUGUUCGGAAUUAUUGGGCGUAAAGAGCUCGUAGGCGGUGUGUCACGUCGGCCGUGAAAACCUGGGGCUUAACUCUGGGCGUGCGGUCGAUACGGGCAUCACUAGAGUUCGGCAGGGGAGACUGGAAUUCCUGGUGUAGCGGUGAAAUGCGCAGAUAUCAGGAGGAACACCGGUGGCGAAGGCGGGUCUCUGGGCCGAUACUGACGCUGAGGAGCGAAAGCAUGGGUAGCGAACAGG
rnacentral:rRNA from 1 species